GACGAACGCUGGCGGCGUGCUUAACACAUGCAAGUCGAACGGAAAGGCCCUGCUUUUGUGGGGUGCUCGAGUGGCGAACGGGUGAGUAACACGUGAGUAACCUGCCCUUGACUUUGGGAUAACUUCAGGAAACUGGGGCUAAUACCGGAUAGGAGCUCCUGCUGCAUGGUGGGGGUUGGAGAGUUUCGGCGGUUGGGGAUAGUCUCGCGGCUUAUCAGCUUGUUAGUCGGGUAGUGGCUUACCAAGGCUGUGACGGGUAGCCGGCCUGAGAGGGGGACCGGGGUCCAGGGGACUGAGAUACGGCCCAGACGGCUACGGGAGGCAGCAGUGGAGAACAUUGCGCAAUGGGCGGAAGCCUGAGGCAGCAGCGUCGGGUGCGGGAUGACGGGCUACGGGGGGUAAACCGCUGUCGCCGGUGACGAAGCGGGAGUGACGGUAAUGGGUAAAGAAGCACCGGCUAACUACGUG
rnacentral:rRNA from 1 species